UAAUACGGAGGAUGCAAGCGUUAUCCGGAAUCAUUGGGUUUAAAGGGUCCGUAGGUGGAUUGGUCAGUCAGAGGUGAAAUCCUGCAGCUCAACUGUAGAACUGCCUUUGAUACUGCCAGUCUUGAAUUAUUGUGAAGUGGUUAGAAUAUGUAGUGUAGCGGUGAAAUGCAUAGAUAUUACAUAGAAUACCGAUUGCGAAGGCAGAUCACUAACAAUAUAUUGACACUGAUGGACGAAAGCGUGGGGAGCGAACGGGAUUAGAUACCCCGGUAGUCCACGCCGUAAACGAUGGUCACUAGCUGUUCGGACUACGGUCUGAGUGGCUAAGCGAAAGUGAUAAGUGACCCACCUGGGGAGUACGUUCGCAAGAAUG
rnacentral:rRNA from 1 species